GCUUGGGAGGAUGAAUUGUUAGAAGAGUGUCGUGCUUUGUUUCAUAACAUUUUUUUUUGCAGAAUAAUGCUUCUGGCAGGUGGUUAAUUAUGGAGAACUGCAAACUCUGAGUCUUUUUCGAUCAAGGAAGCUUAUUUAUCUCUGAGGAGUGGAUGAGGCGCUAUCGAGGAGGGACAUGCUGAUUUUAUUUGGAUCAAAAGUGUCCCUUUGAAGGUUACAGUCUUUGCUUGGCGUUUUUUGGCGGAUCGACUAGCAAUGAAUGCUAAUUUAAUAAGAGAGGAAUUAUGAAUGUUGAC
rnacentral:lncRNA from 1 species